rnacentral:rRNA from 1 species
CCUACGGGGGGCAGCAGUGAGGAAUAUUGGUCAAUGGGCGGAAGCCUGAACCAGCCAAGUCGCGUGAGGGAUGAAGGCCCUGCGGGUCGUAAACCUCUUUUGCCGGGGAGCAGAGGGCCGGACGUGUCCGGGCCGGGAGAGAACCCGGAGAAAAAGCAUCGGCUAACUCGGUGCCAGCAGCCGCGGUAAUACGGAGGAUGCGAGCGUUAUCCGGAUUUAUUGGGGUGACGGGGUGCGUAGGCGGGCAUUGAAGCCGGCGGUCAAUUGUCGGGGCUCACCCCCGGCCUGCCGUCGGAACUGGGUGCCUUGAGUGGGCUAGACGUAUGCGGAAUGCGUGGUGUAGCGGUGAAAUGCAUAGAUAUCACGCAGAACCCCGAUUGCGAAGGCAGCAUACCGGCGCCCUACUGACGCUGAGGCACGAAAGUGCGGGUAUCGAACAGGAUUAGAUACCCCAGUAGUC